rnacentral:rRNA from 1 species
CCUACGGGAGGCAGCAGUAGGGAAUUUUCGGCAAUUGGGGGAACUCUGACCGAGCAACGCCGCGUGAACGAAGAAGUUAUUCGUAAUGUAAAGUUCUUUUAACAGGGAAGAAAGAGAAAUUUGACGGUACCUGAAGAAUAAGCUCCGGCUAACUACGUGCCAGCAGCCGCGGUAAUACGUAGGGAGCGAGCGUUAUCCGGAAUUAUUGGGCGUAAGGGGUGCGUAGAUGUCAUAGUAAGUCUUUUGUAAAAAUGCUGGGCUCAACCCAGUAGGGCAAAAGAUACUGCAAGGCUAGAGUAUGACAGAGGCAAGUGGAACUACAUGUGUAGCGGUAAAAUGCGUAAAUAUAUGUAAGAACACCAGUGGCGAAGGCGGCUUGCUGGGUUGAUACUGACAUUGAGGCACGAAAGCGUGGGGAGCAAACAGGAUUAGAUACCCUUGUAGUC